AUACAGAUCGCUCCAGAAGCAUCUGAUACUCUGAAAGUAUCUCUUCGGAUCCAGCAGGAAGCCAGAUCUACCCUACCUGCUCCAACAUGUCUUUCCUGAAUGACAGUAUGCUGCUGGAAGACUUCUAUGAUCCAGAAAUGGAUGCUCUCUCCAGCCUUGACUCCUUCUCUUAUCAGUAUCCGGGCUGCUACUACCCACAACGUCCACAGUUUCCUAGCCGGAUUUGGCCAUGUCCUCGGGGGUAUCGCCCCAUCACAGGGUGCAUCCCCUGCUAUCCUGGUCUGCCGUGUCCUCCCGGGUACCGUGUCAUAAGGAUUUGUGUCCCUUUUGGUCGAGCUUCCUACCAAGGAAAAGGCUGGCCAUGUAAAUCUGAGACACAACAUUGACGGAACAUCCAAGAAAGAAGACUCAAGAUUCUGAUCCUAGGCUAAAUGAAUGAACGUGGUAUUCAGAAAUGCUGAGUGCUCCAGAAUCCUCACUGUGGAACCUGUGGGAUUUGUGAGCCUCAACACUUCUCUUAACAAGCCAGAUGCUGCUUUUACUUUAUUCCUUUGAGUUGCUCUAUCUUGGCAUGCUUAUCUUAAGAGCAGGCUCCUGUUUCUCAGCCACACCCAUCACCUUCUAUUCCACCCUUUACUGGUGAACCAGGACCCUCUACCACAGCUACUUCAACUAUGAAAGAUACAAAGUCAACAUGGACAAAGUGAAGACUGGUGGUCAACCCUGUUGGCUUAGCCUACAAUGAUUUAUCAGCUUUGUCUUUGUGAUGUCUAGCUCAGUAGUCAAGAUGUCUGAUCAUUGUUUUUUCAGUGUUCCAUGUUGCAUUUAUCUCCAUCUGCCCUGAACCAUUUCCACUGACUCCUUCCUUCAUUUUCUCAUUAAAAUGUUCAGCAUAUCAUAGAA